rnacentral:rRNA from 1 species
UGGGGAAUAUUGGACAAUGGGGGCAACCCUGAUCCAGCCAUGCCGCGUGAGUGAUGAAGGCCUUAGGGUUGUAAAGCUCUUUCGCCGGUGAAGAUAAUGACGGUAACCGGUAAAGAAGCCCCGGCUAACUUCGUGCCAGCAGCCGCGGUAAUACGAAGGGGGCUAGCGUUGUUCGGAAUUACUGGGCGUAAAGCGCGCGUAGGCGGGUCAUUAAGUCAGGGGUGAAAUCCCGGGGCUCAACCUUGGAACUGCCUUUGAUACUUCCAGCCUUGAGUCCGAGAGAGGUGAGUGGAAUUCCGAGUGUAGAGGUGAAAUUCGUAGAUAUUCGGAGGAACACCAGUGGCGAAGGCGGCUCACUGGCUCGGUACUGACGCUGAGGUGCGAAAGCGUGGGGAGCAAACAGGAUUAGAUACCCCCGUAGUCC